UCAGAAAACCUGUCAAAAUCUGUCAAAAGUGGAUAUAAUGAUUUGGUGUUCACAUGUGGAUUCGUGAUAUGAGGUUGUAACAAGGAAUUUUGAAGAGCGCGCGUAACGAAACCUUAAAUUUAUCUCUUUCUUAAUCCGCGGAUUAUAUUGGCCAAUUGAUCAUUCGAUUGGUUUUGAUCUCGUUAGUAUUCUUAUUUGAAAUUCCUUGUUGAAAGCUCAUUUUCUUCGGCUAUAUUCACAAAGUGAAUAUUCUCAGGGUACAUGCGACAAAAAAAUAUUCUACGGUCGUAUAUAUUCACAAUAUGUACAAUUCAUUGGACGCAUUAUAAUGACAUCCACACACUGGAUUCCCGGGAAUAAUCCGUGGUAUGCCAUUCAUGCUUUCAAGUCAGCGGCAGAAAAUAUGCCUAGCGAUUUUCCCUGCGAGUCAGAAACCUCGUAGGAGCUAGUACCGACUUUCCUGACGAUGGUACACGGCGUAUACUAAGGCCCCAGUUUCGCGUUGAACUGGUCUCCAGCGGACGACUGACGGAAGCUUCGUUUGUAUACGCGUUGACCCACAUCGAACGAUGGAAUAGACGUCACGUUGGCAGCUAGCAUCGCCGUUCUGCAGUCUGCCCUGGUGUUUCGGAACAGCACUUCAAAUUUUCUGGCAUCGUCCCACUGCCUGGACAUACUCCGGAAAAUUCUAACCAUGUCCAAGUAGAAAUCUUGAAAUUUCUCUCUUGGACCCUGUCGUCGCGUAUUCGCCAAUCGCUCAUACUGAAAGUCAAUAUCAUCAGCUUUCAACAAACCGCGCAAUGUUCUCUCCCGUUUGGAACGAUUCUCAUCGAGCAUAUUCACAUCACGGAUUUGUAAUGCAUGGUCUAAUUCGUCAUCAGCCAGAUGAGCAGUGAUCAACGCGUAAUACUGCGACUGCAGACGAGAUUGCUCCAUCGCGAAUGCUUUUAGAAAAUUAGAAAAUUAAAAAGAACUACCUAGUGAAACGGUUUUGCACGUCAAAAAAAAAUUUAAAAUUCUAAAAAUUGAAAAUACUAAAUUGAAAAAUCCUAAAAUUUGAAAAUUCUAAAUUUGAAAAUCCUACAAUUUGAAAACUCUAGUUUUAGAUUCGCAAAUAAACUACGAUUCUUUUCAGGUGUUUCAAUCACUCCCUCCGAAUCACACCACACGAUUCAACACUUCGCUCCUUUUUUAAGCACAAUGAACCUAUUCACUUUUUGAACAAUCGUUCUUUGUUACUGAAUUAUGGACAAUCAGAACCCCUCUGUUGCACAAUGAAAUAAUUUCACGAUCUGUGUCAGAUAAAAGGAGUGAGCCCAAAAUGCCAAUCGGCUUGUGAAGGCCUGGAUGUUUUCCCAGAGACCUCUGUCGAAACCAGCUAAUCAAGUGCGAAUUUCCAAACUGAGCCUACAACAAACUAACGGUAAGUUAAUUUUAUGUUGGCGCCAAAGUGUAAUUGCCGGUCUAGCCAACCGGGAGCACUUCCGAGACUCCCCGAAUCAACUGCCCAGGGUCGGCACACUCUCGUAAGUUUACCGCGGGACAGGGAAUUUUCGCACUUGAAUAA